rnacentral:tRNA from 1 species
GGAAAGUUGUCAGAGCGGCCGAAUGAGGCGGUCUCGAAAACCGUUGUUUGUAAAAGAACCCAGGGUUCGAAUCCCUGACUUUCCG